CGGUUGAGGAAGAUAAUGGAAGA
rnacentral:miRNA from 1 species